rnacentral:rRNA from 1 species
AGCGAACGCUGGCGGCAGGCUUAACACAUGCAAGUCGAGCGGGCACUUUCGGGUGUCAGCGGCGGACGGGUGAGUAACGCAUGGGAACGUGCCCUCUGGUUCGGAAUAACUCAGGGAAACUUGAGCUAAUACCGGAUACGCCCUUUUGGGGAAAGGCUUGCUGCCGGAGGAUCGGCCCGCGUCUGAUUAGCUAGUUGGUGAGGUAACGGCUCACCAAGGCGACGAUCAGUAGCUGGUCUGAGAGGAUGAUCAGCCACACUGGGACUGAGACAUGGCCCAGACUCCUACGGGAGGCAGCAGUGGGGAAUAUUGGACAAUGGGCGCAAGCCUGAUCCAGCCAUGCCGCGUGAGUGAUGAAGGCCUUAGGGUUGUAAAGCUCUUUUAUCCGGGACGAUAAUGACGGUACCGGAGGAAUAAGCCCCGGCUAACUUCGUG